rnacentral:rRNA from 1 species
GCCAUACCGCGUGGGUGAAGAAGGCCUUCGGGUUGUAAAGCCCUUUUGUUGGGAAAGAAAUCCUAUCGGUUAAUAACCGGUGGGGAUGACGGUACCCAAAGAAUAAGCACCGGCUAACUUCGUGCCAGCAGCCGCGGUAAUACGAAGGGUGCAAGCGUUACUCGGAAUUACUGGGCGUAAAGCGUGCGUAGGUGGUGGUUUAAGUCCGUUGUGAAAGCCCUGGGCUCAACCUGGGAAUUGCAGUGGAUACUGGAUCACUAGAGUGUGGUAGAGGGAUGCGGAAUUUCUGGUGUAGCAGUGAAAUGCGUAGAGAUCAGAAGGAACAUCCGUGGCGAAGGCGGCAUCCUGGGCCAACACUGACACUGAGGCACGAAAGCGUGGGGAGCAAACAGGAUUAGAUACCCUGGUAGUCCACGCCCUAAACGAUGCGAACUGGAUGUUGGGUGCAACUUGGCACCCAGUAUCGAAGCUAACGCG